rnacentral:rRNA from 1 species
AGAGCGAACGCUGGCGGCAGGCCUAACACAUGCAAGUCGAACGGACCCUUCGGGGUUAGUGGCGGACGGGUGAGUAACACGUGGGAACGUGCCUUUUGGUUCGGAAUAGCUCCUGGAAACGGGUGGUAAUGCCGAAUGUGCCCUUCGGGGGAAAGAUUUAUCGCCAUUAGAGCGGCCCGCGUCUGAUUAGCUAGUUGGUGAGGUAAAGGCUCACCAAGGCUACGAUCAGUAGCUGGUCUGAGAGGAUGACCAGCCACAUUGGGACUGAGACACGGCCCAAACUCCUACGGGAGGCAGCAGUGGGAAUCUUGCGCAAUGGGCGAAAGCCUGACGCAGCCAUGCCGCGCGAAUGAUGAAGGUCUUAGGUUAGUAAAUUACUUUCGACCGGACGAUAAUGACGGUACCGGAGAAGAACGCCCGGCCUAACUUCGUGCCAGCGACGCCGC